rnacentral:rRNA from 1 species
UGGGAACGUACCCUUUGGUUCGGGACAACUCCGGGAAACUGGAGCUAAUACCGGAUAAGCCCUAUGGGGGAAAGAUUUAUCGCCGAAGGAUCGGCCCGCGUCGGAUUAGCUAGUUGGUGGGGUAAGAGCCUACCAAGGCGACGAUCCGUAGCUGGUCUGAGAGGAUGACCAGCCACACUGGGACUGAGACACGGCCCAGACUCCUACGGGAGGCAG